UCAGCUAGUGGUAUUAAAAUGGAUAGCUCAUGGUUGUGGAUGGCAACCGGAAUAAUAAAUCAACGUUUGAUAAUAACUGAUAAGGCAGGCACGUUAAUUGUUCAGAGACAAUAACAUGCAAAUUCACAUACUUCAAGCAAAUAGAUAUUCAGAGAUCCACUUCACUCAAGGUCAUGAGAUCGUCGCUUAUCUAGACCAUCUUUACGGCCAGCUAGCCAAACCUAGUAGCUAUCAACAUCCAUAUACUGCAGAACGUAAAGUAGUACCGACACUUGUUGAUUAGGUUACUCCUCCCCAGUUCUUCCAAAUCUCAAAGUUGUGCCUCAUGUCCAUAAUCUGUAAGCAAAUUUCACACAUACAUACUCUAACAUAAGAUAGAUUCAGUGAACAAAAUAACUGCAAGCCAUCUACUUGUAGAAACUUUUUGUGUCUGGCAGAUGGCCGUACCAUCUUAGACUGAGCAUAAAUAGGAUCUCCUUUCAAAGAUACCGCAUGGCUGAAUGUCCGCAGCAGCAUCAUCUGAUUCUCAACUACAAAAGAGAACUGGGUUAUUUUAGACAACAGGUCACCUAGCUUGCAAUCAAUGAAUUAAUUGAUUACUGAACAAUCCUAAGGCUGGUCACAAUGGGCAAGAACAUAAGCUAGUAACUUACACAUUUCCCUAGACUAUGUUACUACCUCCAUAGUGGGUAGGAACAUCUAUGUAGUGUCAUGCAAUGAUGUAUUUAUUAGGUUAUAGACUCAUUGUUUCUUGGAGUGUGUGAUGUUCCGGUAACUUAGCUAGUUACCACAAGCACCUCUCUCUUCAUUAAAUAUGUGCCACAUAAGCAAAGUUGUAUUGGAGUGUGUGAUGUUACUCCUAAGUUCCUCCCCAUUGUGACCAGCCUAAGUAGGAUUUAGGAAGGAGAGGAAUUAGGAGCACGUACCAUGGCCUUUUUCUUGCAAACGGUGAUGGGUGGUCUUCGCCUGCCCCUCAAGGCCGAUGCUCGGAUAGCACGGUGCUGGACCCUCUGCCCCCACAUCCGCAUGCUUGAGGUGGAACAGCUCGCCGUCGGUGGUGUGGAGGAAUGCCUGCAAGUCCAUCUUUCUUCAAGCGCAUUGCCGAGAUGGCUACAGAUUUGUCUCGUCCAACCCACAUGGUACGGGAAGAAGAUGAAUCACGUUGGGGGUUCAACUCAGGUUAAUGAAGGAGUUUUCCACAAAAAAAAAUUAAAAAAAUGAAGGAGUACCACCAGAGGGAUCCGGAUUCCGAUUCUCCGAGCAGGCUUCAGCGGCAGCAAGGACUCCAGUUCGUUCCGCCACCA
rnacentral:lncRNA from 1 species